rnacentral:lncRNA from 1 species
UUUUUAAGAGUUUUGUGAAAUGAAAGAAUCUCUACUUAUUGCACACAAAGAGGAUUUUCAUCAUUAUUUCUAAAGAUAUGCAGAAACAUGUGCCAAGUCCUGUAGGAACUGGGAAACUAACAAAUUUGCCUUGCUUAUUAUAUCUGAUGAAUAAUCAAAUGCUGAAUAUUCAGAUGUCUGAUGAGCCCUUUGUUUUCUUACAUGUGGACAGAAAUGAACAUUAGUUGAUCCUUAACAAUCAAGAAUUAACAGAGACACAUUCAAGAAGAUAAAGGCCAAAUCUUUGGGAUGUUUAAGAGGUCACACAAACCGUGUGUAGAGCCUGGAGGCCUGAACAUUGAAAUAAUAACACACAAGCUACCUGUCCAUACACUGUAUGUCCUGUAAGUACUCUUUACCCC